AGCAGUCGGCCUUGAUGGGUCAGGUGGUCACCUGACAUGGCUCUAGGAAGCAUUUCCUAUGUUUCCUUCCUUUAUAGGAUGGAGAGGCAUUACCUGAUUCUGAUUUCCUUCUGUAUUUCCUCACAAGCUAAGAUUUGUCAAUUUUGUUUUGGAAGAUGUUGGAUGUGUCUAUUACAUGCGAUGGUGACAGGAUGCAUUGUUCGUGAUGGCAAAGACUGGAAUCUAAAUGUAUGUUGUUACUGGGACUAUUUGAACACAAUACAUCCAUGUGACAGAAUUCUCUGCAGCUGUUAAAAGGAAUAACGUAAUUCUAUAAGAAGGAACAACAGUGCAAUUGGCAUCCUACCAUUCAUGUAAUAUGAAAGAAGAGAAUGUAUGGAUUUUCUUUGAAAAGGAAAGAGACUGAUAACAGUGGAGAUGGAGAUCAGGAAGGGAGAGAACUUUUCACU